ensembl:lncRNA
CUUGUGUUCUGACCCAUUAAAACCCUUAAAGGAAUUAAAAACGGCCCAACGUGGAGUCACAAGACCCGCUGAUGAAUCUGCACCGACGGUUUAAGUCUUUGAAGCGUUUUUAAACCCGGCAAUUAAAACGACACAACAGUCAAAAAUGUUCCAUUUCUUGGACGUCUUUACUCCGAGGGGAGGAGGACGAGACCCUCGGCGGGGCCGCUGGGGGGGGACACGUCGUCCAGAAGGUCGUUCCUGUACCGGCUGAUGCUCAUUCUGGAACGUGAGAGGGAGAUCUGAGAGCAGCCCCGACGAAGAGAAGCGGCUGGCAAACACGGAUGGGAGGAUUAUCUCGUAUUCAUGAAUGUAUUUCUGCACGCAGCAAAGACGUGGCUCAAAGCAGGAGGGAGGAUCUCUGCUGCACGCCAUUGAAGCUCCGCCCACCGGAGAUCCCCACGACCUCUGGCUGCAGGCCGGUGCUUGAAGUACAAGUAUCAGCUAAAUGUG